rnacentral:rRNA from 1 species
UACGGAGGAUCCAGACGUUAUCCGGAAUCAUUGGGUUUAAAGGGUCCGUAGGCGGUUUGGUAAGUCAGUGGUGAAAGCCCAUCGCUCAACGGUGGAACGGCCAUUGAUACUGCCAGACUUGAAUUAUUAGGAAGUAACUAGAAUAUGUAGUGUAGCGGUGAAAUGCUUAGAGAUUACAUGGAAUACCAAUUGCGAAGGCAGGUUACUACUAAUGGAUUGACGCUGAUGGACGAAAGCGUGGGUAGCGAACAGG